AACGAACGCUGGCGGCAUGCCUAACACAUGCAAGUCGAACGAAACCUUCGGGGCUAGUGGCGGACGGGUGCGUAACGCGUGGGAACGUGCCCUUAGGUUCGGAAUAACUCACGGAAACUUGUGCUAAUACCGGAUGUUCUCUUCGGGCGAAAGAUUUAUCGCCUUUAGAGCGGCCCGCGUUUGAUUAGCUAGUUGGUUGAGGUAAUGGCUAACCAAGGCGACGAUCAGUAGCUGGUCUGAGAGGAUGAUCAGCCACAUUGGGACUGAGACACGGCCCAAACUCCUACGGGAGGCAGCAGUGGGGAAUCUUGCGCAAUGGGCGAAAGCCUGACGCAGCCAUGCCGCGUGAAUGAUGAAGGUCUUAGGAUUGUAAAAUUCUUUCACCGGGGACGAUAAUGACGGUACCCGGAGAAGAAGCCCCGGCUAACUUCGUG
rnacentral:rRNA from 1 species